CUGUAGACACGAGUUUGAUCAGUGGCUACGAGGACGAACGCUGGCGGCGUGCCUAACACAUGCAAGUCGAGCGAUGAAGCUUCUUCGGAAGUGAAUUAGCGGCGGACGGGUGAGUAACACGUGGGCAACCUGCCUUAUAGAGGGGAAUAGCCUUUCGAAAGGAAGAUUAAUACCGCAUAAGAUUGUAGCUUCGCAUGAAGUAGCAAUUAAAGGAGUAAUCCGCUAUAAGAUGGGCCCGCGGCGCAUUAGCUAGUUGGUGAGGUAACGGCUCACCAAGGCGACGAUGCGUAGCCGACCUGAGAGGGUGAUCGGCCACAUUGGGACUGAGACACGGCCCAGACUCCUACGGGAGGCAGCAGUGGGGAAUAUUGGGCAAUGGGCGAAAGCCUGACCCAGCAACGCCGCGUGAAGGAAGAAGGCCUUCGGGUUGUAAACUUCUUUUAGCAGGGAAGAAGGAAUGACGGUACCUGACUAAGAAGCCCCGGCUAACUACGUG
rnacentral:rRNA from 1 species